GUGAGUUAUUGCAUUUUCCUGGCUUUCUCUCAUGUAUGCAUGUUAUAAAACUUUGUUUGAUUUUCUCCUGUUAUUCUGUUUCAUGUAAAUUUAAUUCUUAGACUGGUCAGAAGGAUCUGGAGGGUAGAGGAAUUGUCUUCCUCCCCUACACUUGCAUUCCUCUGGAGUUCAUUCUGUGAACUACGGCACUGCAAUUAGUCUUAUGAGUGUGAUUUGAAGGCCACACCUGAGAUGAAUUAAUCAGCAUCUCUCAGGCUUGAACCCAGGCCUCACAUGGUUCCUCAGACUCCCUAGGUGGUUCCAAUGUGCAUCUGAGUUUGAGAACCACAAGACCCAUCAGCUUUAUAAGGUAAAGGUAAAGCAAGAAUAAGCUUGAAUGCCCUGCCCAUUCUCCAAGGACCCCGUGGAGGAAAGAAGUGGAGAGUCACCUGCUGAAGUGAGGAGCAAGGAACUGCUGUUUUCACCCCUGCGGGGAAGCUGGUCAUGCAGAGCCCAACCACUGAUCUUGGCACUUUCACAAGAAGAUUCACCCUGAGCUAACAUCUGCUGCCAAUCCUCCUCUUUUUGCUGAAGAAGACUGGCCCUGAGCUAACAUCUGUGCCUAUCUUCCUCUACUUUAUAUGUGGGAUGCCUGCCACAGCAUGGCUUGCCAAGUGGUGCCAUGUCCACACUGGGAUCCGAAACUGAAACCCUGGGCCACUGAAGCGGAACAUGUGAACUUAACUACUGUGCCACCUGGCUGGCCCCGUGAAUAAUGUUUUCAAAGCACCGAGUACAGAGUGAAUAAAUGGUAGCUGCCAUUUUUAGGAAGUCUUCUUCACUGUUGAGGCCACCUGGCAGCUCUGGUUAUAAUCUCAUUUUUCCAGAUAUAAUUUUAGUGUUAGGAUAGGCUGGGGACAUAUGUGCCAACAAGCGGUAUGUAGACCAAUAACCCUUGUCACCAAGACUGAUGAAAAUCUAAGGUUAUGUGGAAUAUGGCAACCAAUCAUAAGGAGAGAGAGCCUUCUGUCAAUUUAAGAAUUUACCGACUCUCGGAAACCGUGAUUUUUAGUUUUUUGAAUUUGGGAGUCUUUUCUAACUUUACUCAAAUAAGAUGCUCCUGAUGAAAGUCCAUUGCCGCUUCAGUCUUGGCCCUCUCUGCCUAGCUUUUAAAUUGGGAUUAAAUUUUAACAAACCCUCAACUGUGUGUGCUUAUGUUAUCACAGAAUGUUACAUCAGGCAUUAUAAAUAAUUCCUAGGCAAUAUUUAGAAUGGCUGCAAGCCAUUUUUAGAAUUGGUGGAGAAUUAUUUACAACACGCUACUCACACACUGCCUGCUGCAGGUCAUUAUGUGUUUCUCUUAAAAUCCUCUAAAGCAGUGAGGAUACCAUGGCUACCCAGGGGUUUAUUACUGUGCCAAGUCAAGGAUGGUGGC
rnacentral:lncRNA from 1 species